rnacentral:rRNA from 1 species
CUGCAGCCCGAGUGGUGAUCGAUUUUAUUGAGCCUAAAGCGUCCGUAGCCGGACUAGUAAACCCUUGGGUAAAUUGGGCAGCUUAACUGUCCAGAUUCCGAGGGGACUGCUAGUCUUGGGACCGGGAGAGGUCAGAGGUACUCAAGGGGUAGGGGCUAAAUCCUGUAAUCCUUUGGGGACCACCAGUGGCGAAGGCGUCUGACUAGAACGGAUCCGACGGUAAGGGACGAAACCCUGGGGCGCGAACCGGAUUAGAUACCCGAGUAGUCC